rnacentral:rRNA from 1 species
UACGUAGGGUGCUAGCGUUGUUCGGAAUCAUUGGGCGUAAAGCGCGUGCAGGCUGUUAGUUAAGUCGGGUGUGAAAUCCCUGGGCUCAACCGAGGAAGUGCAUCCGAAACUAGCUAGCUAGAGAGUGGUAGAGGAAGGUGGAAUUCCAAGUGUAGAGGUGAAAUUCGUAGAUAUUUGGAGGAAUACCGGUGGCGAAGGCGGCCUUCUGGACCAUUUCUGACGCUGAGACGCGAAAGCGUGUGGAGCAAACAGG